UCCGUCCUAUCGACGGCAGUCUCCCUAGAGUGCUCAACAUAACUUGGUAGCAACUAGGGACAAGGGUUGCGCUCGUUGCGGGACUUAACCCAACAUCUCACGACACGAGCUGACGACAGCCAUGCAGCACCUGUGCACUGGCCCCGAAGGGAGGGUGCCUUUCAGCACCUGUCCAGUGCAUGUCAAGCCUAGGUAAGGUUCUUCGCGUUGCAUCGAAUUAAACCACAUGCUCCACCGCUUGUGCGGGCCCCCGUCAAUUCCUUUGAGUUUCAACCUUGCGGUCGUACUCCCCAGGCGGGGCACUUAAUGCGUUAGCUGCGGCACGGGAGGGGUCGAUGCCUCCCACACCUAGUGCCCACCGUUUACAGCCGGGACUAC
rnacentral:misc_RNA from 1 species